UACGAAGGGGGCGAGCGUUGUUCGGAUUUACUGGGCGUAAAGGGCGCGCAGGCGGCUCAUUUUGUCAGGCGUGAAAGCCCCGGGCUUAACCUGGGAACUGCGUUUGAUACGGAUGGGCUAGAGUUCGGGAGAGGAGAGUGGAAUUCCCAGUGUAGAGGUGAAAUUCGUAGAUAUUGGGAAGAACACCGGUGGCGAAGGCGGCUCUCUGGACCGAGACUGACGCUGAGGCGCGAAAGCGUGGGGGAGCAAACAGG
rnacentral:rRNA from 1 species